UACAGAGGUCUCAAGCGUUGUUCGGAUUCAUUGGGCGUAAAGGGUGCGCAGGCUGCGUGGUAAGUCGAGUGUGAAAUUUAGGGGCUUAACCCCUAAACUGCAUCCGAUACUGCCAUGCUAGAGGACUGUAGAGGAGAUUGGAAUUCACGGUGUAGCAGUGAAAUGCGUAGAUAUCGUGAGGAAGACCAGUGGCGAAGGCGAAUCUCUGGGCAGGUCCUGACGCUCAUGCACGAAGGCUAGGGGAGCAAACGGG
rnacentral:rRNA from 1 species